rnacentral:rRNA from 1 species
GGGUGCACCAGGCGCGAAAACUUUACAAUGCUGGCAACAGCGAUAAGGGGACCUCGAGUGCCAGGAUACAAUCUUGGCUGUCGCGAUGCCUAAAAAGCAUUGCAUAGCAAGGGCCGGGCAAGACCGGUGCCAGCCGCCGCGGUAACACCGGCGGCUCGAGUGGUAACCGCUAUUAUUGGGUCUAAAGGGUCUGUAGCCGGCCGGAUAAGUCUUUUGGGAAAUCCAGCUGCUUAACAGUUGGGCUUUCAGAAGAUACUGUUCGGCUCGAGACCGGGAGAGGUGAGAGGUACUUCAGGGGUAGGGGUGAAAUCUUGUAAUCCUUGAAGGACCACCAGUGGCGAAGGCGUCUCACCAGAACGGAUCUGACGGCAAGGGACGAAAGCUAGGGGCACGAACCGGAUUAGAUACCCGGGUAGUCCUAGCCGUAAACGAUACUCGCUAGGUGUCAGCCACGGUGCGACCGUGGUUGGUGCCGUAGGGAAGCCGUGAAGCGAGCCACCUGGGAAGUACGGCCGCAAGGCUGAAACUUAAAGGAAUUGGCGGGGGAGCAC